UACGUAGGGUGCAAGCGUUGUCCGGAAUUAUUGGGCGUAAAGCGCGCGUAGGCGGCCGUUUAAGUCGGAUGUGAAGCCCCUGGCUCAACUGGGGAAGUGCACCCGAAACUGAAUGGCUUGAGUACUAAAGAGGGUCGCGGAAUUCCCGGUGUAGAGGUGAAAUUCGUAGAUAUCGGGAGGAACACCGGUGGCGAAGGCGGCGACCUGGGUAGAUACGUGACGGCUGAGGCGCGAAAGCGUG
rnacentral:rRNA from 1 species